GGGUGAGUAGUUCAGUGGUAGAGCAGCGCGGUCUGUCUCCGGACCACGAGAGCCCGGUUCGAUUCCGGCCUCUGCCCG